AGGGGAGGCCGGAUCCUGGGCUGUGUCCCGGCGCCCUGUGCUCCGGGGUCUGCGCUGUUGGAUUCGCGCUCCCGCCCCGCAGCCCCCU
rnacentral:pre_miRNA from 1 species